rnacentral:rRNA from 1 species
GACGAACGCUGGCGGCGUGCUUAACACAUGCAAGUCGAACGGAAAGGCCCUGCUUUUGUGGGGUGCUCGAGUGGCGAACGGGGGAGUAACACGUGAGUAACCUGCCCUUGACUUUGGGAUAACUUCAGGAAACUGGGGCUAAUACCGGAUAGGAGCUCCUGCUGCAUGGUGGGGGUUGGAAAGUUUCGGCGGUUGGGGAUGGACUCGCGGCUUAUGAGCUUGUUGGUGGGGUAGUGGCUUACCAAGGCUUUGACGGGUAGCCGGCCUGAGAGGGUGACCGGCCACAUUGGGACUGAGAUACGGCCCAGACUCCUACGGGAGGCAGCAGUGGGGAAUAUUGCACAAUGGGCGGAAGCCUGAUGCAGCAGCGCCGCGUGCGGGAUGACGGCCUUCGGGUUGUAAACCGCUUUCGCCUGUGACGAAGCGUGAGUGACGGUAAUGGGUAAAGAAGCACCGGCUAACUACGUG